AGGAAUAUUGGUCAAUGGGCGCAGGCCUGAACCAGCCAAGUAGCGUGAAGGAUGACUGCCCUAUGGGUUGUAAACUUCUUUUAUAAAGGAAUGAAGUCGGGUAUGUAUACCCGUUUGCAUGUACUUUAUGAAUAAGGAUCGGCUAACUCCGUGCCAGCAGCCGCGGUAAUACGGAGGAUCCGAGCGUUAUCCGGAUUUAUUGGGUUUAAAGGGAGCGUAGAUGGAUGUUUAAGUCAGUUGUGAAAGUUUGCGGCUCAACCGUAAAAUUGCAGUUGAUACUGGAUAUCUUGAGUGCAGUUGAGGCAGGCGGAAUUCGUGGUGUAGCGGUGAAAUGCUUAGAUAUCACGAAGAACUCCGAUUGCGAAGGCAGCCUGCUAAGCUGCAACUGACAUUGAGGCUCGAAAGUGUGGGUAUCAAACAGGAUUAGAUACCCUGGUAGUCCACACGGUAAACGAUGAAUACUCGCUGUUUGCGAUAUACUGCAAGCGGCCAAGCGAAAGCGUUAAGUAUUCCACCUGGGGAGUACGCCGGCAACGGUGAAACUCAAAGGAAUUGACGGGGGCCCGCACAAGCGGAGGAACAUGUGGUUUAAUUCGAUGAUACGCGAGGAACCUUACCCGGGCUUAAAUUGCAGAUGAAUUACGGUGAAAGCCGUAAGCCGCAAGGCAUCUGUGAAGGUGCUGCAUGGUUGUCGUCAGCUCGUGCCGUGAGGUGUCGGCUUAAGUGCCAUAACGAGCGCAACCCUUGUUGUCAGUUACUAACAGGUUCCGCUGAGGACUCUGACAAGACUGCCAUCGUAAGAUGUGAGGAAGGUGGGGAUGACGUCAAAUCAGCACGGCCCUUACGUCCGGGGCUACACACGUGUUACAAUGGGGGGUACAGAGGGCCGCUACCACGCGAGUGGAUGCCAAUCCCCAAAACCUCUCUCAGUUCGGACUGGAGUCUGCAACCCGACUCCACGAAGCUGGAUUCGCUAGUAAUCGCGCAUCAGCCACGGCGCGGUGAAUACGUUCCCG
rnacentral:rRNA from 1 species